ACUCCUUCCUGUCCCUUGAAUAUACUUGAUCAAAGCGGGAUUCUGGCUACACUCCACAAGUUCUAACAACCCUGUUGCUAAACAUCUUUACAGUCUUCAACAUUUUCUGUCUCUUGAUGAGUGUAGGCUUGGAGUGACAACAUCAGUAUAAUGGAAACUACUGUACAGAUGUAAUGUCAGGACGCAGCUUACCGCCUCAAACUUUGUAUUUUGGACUGUUAAUGUCCUUCCACCCUACCCCCAAAUCCGUAUGCUGGAAUCCUACCCCCAAAGAUGGUACUGGUGGGAACACUAAGUUGUGAAAUCAUGAGGUGGAGCCCUCACAAAUGGGAUCAGUGCCCUUAUAUGAGAGGCCCCAGAGAAAACUCUCUCUUUCCACAUGUGAGUACACAGUGAGAAGAUGGCAGUCUAUGAGCCAAGAAGUCUUCGUCAGACACUGAUCUGCUGGUAGCUUGGUCUUGGGCUUCCCUGAGCGACAAAUGUUUGUCACUGAAGUCACUCAGCCCAUGGGAUUUUUGUUUCAGCAGGCUGAACUUUGGUCUGCACUGAAGAUGCACUGUCACCAAGUGACAGGGUUGCCUUUGGGUAAAGCCUCAGAGUCCAAAUGGCCAAUUGAUCGUCCACAGGUACCAUAGCCAUCACCUCCACCUGACAGAUGAGGAAACUGAGGCACAAAAAGGCCAAUUUGGCCAAGGGCACCCUGCUGGUGAGUGGCAGAGUCCAGAUUGGGAGACCAGCAGUGAGGGACUCAUCUUGACAUCCCGCUGCUGGCCAAAUACACCAUGGGCUUCCCCACCUCCCAUGCCUUUGCUCAAGCCCUUGGCCCCACCUGGAGCGCCAACUGUUCCUUCUCUCCUCCCCAUCUCCGCCUGAUAAGUUCUCCUCCUAAGCCCCAUCUGAAACAUGACUUCCAUUGUGAAACCAUCCUCCUUUCUCAGAUUAGAAACUGUAAAGAUAAAGGUACCAAGACAAAAGUAAAGGGCAAAAAAAUUUGUUCCUGC